rnacentral:rRNA from 1 species
AUACGAGGGGUGCAAGCGUUAAUCGGAAUUACUGGGCGUAAAGCGUUCGUAGGCGGUUUGUUAAGCAAGAUGUGAAAGCCCUGGGCUCAACCUGGGAACUGCAUUUUGAACUGGCAAGCUAGAAUACUGUAGAGGGUGGUGGAAUUUCCAGUGUAGCGGUGAAAUGCGUAGAGAUUGGAAGGAACAUCAGUGGCGAAGGCGGCCACCUGGACAGAUAUUGACGCUGAGGAACGAAAGCGUGGGGAGCGAACAGGAUUAGAAACCCGUGUAGUCC